AAGGAAAAACAAUGACCUCGCGUCUGCAUAGGACUUCACUGUUUGCAGCUCACUGUUGACAGCUCGUUUAGUCUUGCAACCACUUGAAGCAGUUUAUGCUUCUUACACAAUGCAUUCCAUUAUUUUUGCUGAAGUUGCAACUGACAAACAAGUACAGUUCUGACAUGAAUGGUGAGAUUUUUAAGUGUAUUCGUGAAACAACAAUGAAACAAAAAUUAAGUCAGAACUUGAUUGGUUUACCAAUGAUGCGAACAACUUCUUUGCUGAAUCAGGUAAUAAUUUUCAAAUACUGGACCAUUUUGUCAAUUUUCUAUUUGCAAUGUUUAAUGGCUACAGGCAUGGGGCACUUGUAAGUGUAAUUUGUAUUCACUUUCUCCAUCACUUUCCUAAAUCUAGACAAUCAAAAAAAAAAAAAAACAAUAAAUCAAGCUCUGAUUCAUAGCAUUUGGAGCUUUCCAUCGUAUAAAUAAUCCUACCACAGCCAAUUUUGAGCUACCAAUGUGCCAUCACUUAGGCAGUUGGGUAGAGAUAUGCAGGCACAUGCCAUUAUAAAGUAUUGCCGCCAUAUCCAUAAAAAUAAAGGUACUGAGCCUCAAAAGCAUAAAUAACAGUAAAACGUAAAAUAAUUAGGAAGUGAAGAGUUCUGAGUAUUAUCUUCUCCAAUAAAACUCAAUUGCAAGCUUAUAUAAUGGCUGUUUCUAACAACCAGCUCUGUAAAUUCCUGGAAGUGUAACAGUGAGACCUCAAGGGACCUUAUAAGCUGACCCCAGCACACCAUGGCUGGAACAGCAUUUGCUGGCAAUUACUACUUAAGAUGCUAUGAUUGGUGGCCAUUUGCUCCAUGUGUGCACAAUUUCCACAACACUGUCUGGAUUAGUGCCCUGGAUUUUCAAGAAACUCAUUUUGCAUUUGGAUUUUUU